rnacentral:lncRNA from 1 species
UUUUCUCUCUCUAGAUUUUUUCUUACUGUUUCUUCAUUGAGGGGUGGUUUUGGGUCAAUUCUUAACAUAAAAUCAUCCAUCUUCAUCUUUUUCUCUCUAUUUCAAUCUAAAUAAGUGAUUUUCACAUAGAUCUAGGUUUUUUUCUUUGUGAUUUCAUCAUCUAAGUGUGGUGGUUUGUUUUUCGUCGUCUUGUGCGGUGUUGUUUCAUUUCCCUAAUUAAUCCCGCCUUUUUGGGUGGAUCUGAGUAAUUUUUAUGAAAAAAAUUAGUUUGCAAGGAAUCAAACCAGGUACCAUAUGCUCACACUUUACAACUACAUCCGCUAUGCCACUUCUAUUUUUGUUGAAAUAUUGUUGCUUCCAAAAAUGAAAUACAUGACUAAAACAUUUUUUUUAAAGCCCGAACCACCCUAAUAGUUUCCUCUCUCAUAUCAGUUAUUUUUUAUUAUUAGCAGUACCUUUAUUGAUAAUAGUUCUUUCAGUAUGCUUACUACGUUUUACGAUAUUAAAGUUGUAUCUUUAAAAUUGUAGAUAAUUUGACUGAUUCAGAUGAUAAUUUUAUCAUUAGAAACUUCACUUUUUCCUUUAAUUUUGCCGGCCUCUUUGUUUCUCAUAUAUUAUAUUACUUGAAGUUGUUUAUUCUGACUUGUUAUUUGCGAAAAUCACUACAGGAGACUAUAACAUUACUUUGUUUUGGCAAAGUAAGGACUUUGAUUCCAUAUUCAUUUUUGUUAAUUUCCAUUAGUUAUAAGGUGUUGAGAGAAUAUUAUGAGGCUACCUUGAUUCUGCUACCAGAUUGUCGGAUCCACAGAAUCCAGGGGAUCCACAAGAGCUGGAAAAGAUUAGGACUACUUGUGUGGAACUUUCCCACGGAAUUGGACGGAAAUGCGUUUUCGGACGGAAUUCGGAUGGAUUGGGCGUUGUCCGAAAAAGCCGCGUCGCAAAUCGUAUUUUCAUCCCAAUUUCUGUCCGAAAUAUUUUUCAGACGGAUUUCGUACGGUUUUCGCACAAACGCAGUUGUGGGAUGUUGGACUAAAUUUCAAACGGAUUUCGGACGGAAUUGAAUUUAAUUUCCUACGGUUUUCGGACAGAACUGAAUUUAAUUACCUACGGAUUUCAGACGGAAUUUAAUUUAAUUUCCUACGAUUUUCAAAUGGAAUUUAAUUUAAUUUCCUACGAUUUUCAGACGGAAUUGAGUUAUAAUUUCCUACGGUUUUCAGAUGGAUUCUAGACAAAUUUUCAAACGAUUUUCAGACGGAUUUAAAUUGCUUUAAAAUAUUUUCCACACUUUUCAAUCGUGGUUAUAAUUUUUUUUAUUUUACAAAAUUGCCACAAUUCAUAUUUUUUAAUGAGUUUGGGGUAAAUUCCAACAUGUAAAAUUGAUAUUCAAUAAUACAUAUUAAAUCAAAUAAAAAUAAAUAAUAAUUCAAGAGUAAACAAAUGUUCAUUGUCUGAAACAAAAUUAUAUAAACUAGAUUUAUAUAAGUGCUCAAUGUUCUAACACAAUAUAUCACAAACUAACAUGACUAAAUUGUCCAUUAGUCAGUACUCAACAAUAAAAGUAACACAAUGAAGUGCACUAGUAGGGAUAGGGGAGACAACAUAACUCCAACCAAAAGGAAAUAGCCAAAAAAACAAGGUAAAUAGGUUUGGAAACAUAACUCCAACCAAAAGGAACUCCCAUGACAAAGCCAGCCAAAUACAAGACAGCAGCAGUCAAACACAUAUUUCAUAAAAAAAAAAAAAACAGAGAAACUGGCAGCAACAACCACAAAACAGUUGAACAACAAAAAAUCAGUUGGGCCAAACUUAUCAUUCAAAUCCAAAAAUAUCAUCAUUGUUUUCAUUAGAGGCUUCACCAACAUCAUUUGGUUCAUCUUGCAUAGGUGUCACACAAGCAAAGUUUGGAGGCAAUGACAUAUUCUGUUGGAACAAAAUGUGUUUCACAAUGAACCUUAUUAAGUUUUGAUGAUAACAAGGUAUUAAAAAUUGUCAAUUGGUUAUUACUAAUAAUUGUUCAAGUGUACAGGACCAAAGGCUACUCAAGUUAUUUCAAUAGGUCUUGGAAGAACAAUGGAAAGAAAAAGAAAUUCUGAGCAUCUGAAGAAAACUGCUCCUGAAGCUGAAGUGCUUCUGAAGUGAUGACGUCAUCAGAAGCAGAAGGUCAUCAGAAGCAAAAGGUUUUCAUCAGAAGCAAUAUCUUCACCAGAAGCUACGUUUGAUCCUUUAAUCAAACUGAAGAUUCAAAGUAGCUGAUUCUCAAUUCAGUCUUAUCCAAGAAGAACGAAGAAUUGAAAGGGAGGUAUCAACGGAUAUAUGGAUAGCACUGAGCACUUGUCUCUCGUUAAUAGAGUUGACAAAGUACAAGUGUACAACCACUACCUCCACUACUCUGUUUUCUGUCUGCGCUACAAGACAAGACAACAGCCAUGCCUGCAGAAGUUGUACGUUCAAGAUGGGAAUGAAUUUGAAGCUUAUUCUUCAAAGGACUACACCCAAAUUAGGCAAAGGAUUACUGGUGGAUAAUCAAAGGAUUUCAAACGACUCUUUAGACGUGCUGAUUAUCUCAACGUCUCUUUCACGCCUCUAUAUAAAGGAGUGAAGACUUGAAGAUAAAAGAUAGAGAUACACAAGUUAAAAAGCGCCAAAACUCUGUCAAUUUGAUUCUAAAAAGCACACUGAAUUUCUGCACUGAUUUGAUACAUCUUAGAAAUUCAAAGUCUAGAGUCUUUAUUGUAUUGUAUUGUGAACACCACUGAUUGUAUAUCAAGUGUUCAACUCAAACUCAAUUCUCUGUAUUUUUGUUUGAUCAGAAGUCUCUUGCCUGCGUGCUUGAGCAUUAGAAGUCUCUUGCUUAGUGCUUGAGCAUUGGAAGACUCUUGCGUGUGUGCUUGAGCAUUUUUGUGAAGUCUCAUACUUAGAAAGUAUUGAGCAGUUGUAAUCUUUGUGAUUAUAGUGAAAUCUCCUUGGAAGUGCAAGGGGGACUGGACUACUUCCGUGUUGUGGAAGGAACCAGGAUAACUGCUUGUGUCUUUGUCUUUCUUUUCUCUGCUCUGUUCUUUUCCGCUGCAAUCUGACUCUGAUCAUUUCAUCAGAAGCACUCAAACUGCUUCUGAAGUUUUAUCAGAAGAAGUAUUUUACAAGAGAAAAAGAAAACACAAUUCAACCCCCCCCCCCCCCCCCCCCCCCCCCUUCUUGUGUUUUUCACCUUCAUAUUCAACUUUUCAAAUAAAGUUGCAAGCAUGCUUUCAUUUGACUCAAUUCUUUUUUGUUGCUGCUCCAAUUUUUGUUUUUGCUCUUGGUUUAUACGUUCUUGCUCUUUUACCUUUUCUUUCCAUUUUAAGAGCUCUUGUUCCAUGUUUUUUUUCCUUAAAGGCAUUUGAGCAUGAACCAAUAGUAUACUUCGAAGUAUUUGUUCUUCAAACUUUGUAGGUUUAAUAAUUAUAUAAAUAAAAAUAAAAAUAUUGGCCGUCCGAAAACCGUCUCAAUAUUUCCCACGGAUUUGGGACAGAUUUGUAUUUUUAACGAAAUUCGUGGGAAAAAAACCUUUUUGAACAUGUCAUAAAAAUUUCACACGAUUUUGGGACGGAUUUGGGACGAAAAUUACGCUCCUUACAAACCAUCCCAAAUCCGUCCGAAAAAUUCAGACAAAAACACAUCCGUCCGAAAACGCUAUUUUUUUAGUAGUGGUUCCCAUACCUCCUACGGCGAUUGGGCCUCUUGAGCCAGCGGAGGUGGUUACGGCCUUCUUGGAGUUUGCUCUCCAUGUCCAAAGCCAGCAAGAGAUCAGGGGUGAGUCGGUCCCGGAGGACGAGGGGCAUAAGCAUUCAAAGGGGUACAUGAAAUGAUUCUACCGUGUAUCCCAUCUUCUUAUGAUCGUCCCUGCUACCGUUCCUGAGGACCACAGUUCCCAGACCUCCCUAUGAGGAGGUUAUUGUUGAGCAGCGGUGGGCCAGACAUCCUCCCGAUCCAUACCAGAUGAUCAUCCAAAAUGUCAGAGUCGUAGUUAACAGCGCUAUGGAGGGGAUUCCUUACGUGUAUUCAAAUCUUGUUGUUGUCCGCGUUAUUGAGAUCAUUCGGCACCAGUAUCGCGUGUUGGAGGAGGUGCCGACUCCGCGGAGGAGGAGGAGUCCACGGAAGUAGUUGGCUCUUAAAAAAAGCAUACUGUCUCCCCACCACCACAAGUAGUAGGCUCUUAAAAAAAGCAUACUGUCUCCCCACCACCACAAUGAAUAUUGCCUAAAAAUAAUUCCGAUAUAUACAUCCACCUCCACUUAUACUGAGUUAAACCAAAUCAAAUAAUUGCAAAAAAAAGUAAUCCUAAUCCACAAUCAAUAAUUCCGAUAUAUUAGGCUUUUAAAAAGUUUGAUUUGCUUUGUGACGUGUAGGUUAAUCCGUAAGCAUAUGGAAAUCUGACGUAUUUUCAUUAAUAAUUGUACCUCCCACUCACCAUUGUCUCUAACUAGUAUAAAACAUUAUAUUAUUCCCUAUGUUUUAUGCAUCAAUACAAAAAUCACACUAACUAAGAUGGCUUCUUUUUUCUCAUACUUGCUUGUGUUUUUCUUUGCAUUUCUGAUUCUCAUCCCUCAAGGCUUUGGUAAUGCUCCUAACCAUAAUAAACAUUUACAUCAUCCAUCAUCAACAUAUGUACAUCCUACCACCUUACCCAAACCAACUUACCCUGCCAGUACCAACAUUCCAAAAAAGCAUCCUCACCACCCUCCAAAAGAAGAUAACACUCAUUUCUAAAGUAUGAAAUGAGAGUUAUGAAAUAUAUAUGUACUGAAUAAGUGGUUCUAGUUACCAAGCUGUUUGUUUUCUAUAUAGUAAUAUGUACUCUCCUACUUGGCAACUGUGGGUGGGGUGUUUUUGUGUUUUGUGUGUGUACGUGUCAUGAAUAAAAAUUACUUGACAAGAAAGAGUGCUAUGUACUGCAGAUUAUAAAUAUUUUUAUUUGUGACACCAGAUUAUAAUAAAUAAAUAUUAUGAUUGUGUGAGAUUGAUAGGUUUAAUUGAUUUAUAUAUAUCGAGCAAUUUCAGACCGUAAAUAAGUCUAUAAUAUAAUACUAGUUAUUGCUAAUACUACCUUUUACGUAAACCUUGCUCUUCCUAAAAAUAAAAUAAUAUCAGUCAAACAAUAAAAGUGUGAAGAAACUUGUGAGCAAUUACAUGACGAUGUUGAUUAAUAUCCUCGCAAGCUCCUUUUUUGUGGAUGUUGAUACUCUCAUUUUUUGUGAGAAAUCUUGGUCUACAAUUACAACUAUCAAAGCCAGGCUUUUCCUUUUUAAAUUAAUUUCAGGCCUUAAAGUUAACUUUCAUAAAUGUUUGUUAUUUAGUGUUAAUAUAUCUCUUAUUUGGUUGAAAAUUGAUGUCGGCACAUUGAAAAAGGUUGAAAACACUGGUAAAAGACGUAAAUACCCCGUCGACAGUUAAUUACCGAGGAAAACAACCGACGGCAGUUAACUACUGAGGAAAACUUCGACAGUAAAUUACCGUCGAUUCGAUCCUGAGCAUAUGCAAAACAGAAGCAUCAGUUUUCCCAUUUCAUCUUUUCUCCAAAACUUCUCAAAAUUCACUCCAAUUAAGUUUUGGACGAAAUUCAACUUAAUUAUCUCCAUUUUAUCACAAGUAAGUAGGUUUAAUAAUUUUUAAUCAUAAUGUCAGUUUGUGUAGGUUUUUUUUUAAGUUUUGUAGUUUGCAUGCUGUUAGGGUUGAUGUAGGAAUUGAUAUUUUGAUGAUUGCAUGUAGUUUAUAAAUGAAUGUAGCUGUUGUAAUUGAUGUUCGAACGUGUUUUAAGUACAGUAUGUUUUGAAUGGUGUCAAAUGAAGAUAAUUUGAAUACUUUUGAUACUUUGCACACAAAGUGUUUGACAAAAUGCCCAAAUGAAAAUUUUAUUGAUUAUUUAGUUAGUUUAUAUUAUGCGAAUUAUAUUGAUUAUUUAAUUUGAUAAAACAACAAGAAUCAUUCAAUAAUAUCUCCCUCUCCAACAAGUCGGCCCUAGUUUUCUCUCUCUAGGUUUUUUCUUACUGUUUCUUCAUUGAGGGGUGGUUUUGGGUCAAUUCUUGACCUAAAAUCACCCAUCUUCAUCUUUUUCUCUCUAUUUCAAUCUAAAUAAGUGAUUUUCAGAUAAAUCUAGCUUUUUUUCUUUGUGAUUUCAUCAUCUAAGUGUGGUGGUUUGUUUUUCAUCGUCUUGUGCGGCGUUGUUUCAUUUCCCGUCUUCGUGCGGUGUUCAUUUGAUUUAUAUUGAAAGAUCCAUUAUUCAAACAAAGAUUUGGGCGUCAACAUUGCAGAUCCGGAGGCCAUGGAUAUUCCGGUCACUUUAAUUUUAUCAUAUAUUUUUCUAGGCAUUAUGCUGUUAUAUGCUAUUAACUUGGAUGAUGCAUGUUUGUUCAUAGAUUCAUCCUUUACGUUUUUAGCAGUGUUGAAUGAUGUAAUCUCUCGAUUUGAAUGAAUGAAUAUCAUUUUGUUUUUGUCAAAAAAAAAAAGAUAUUUGUUUGAUCUUAAUAUAUAUAAAUGUUAAACAUUCUGAUAAGUUUCCCUAAUUAAUUCCGCCUUUUUGGGUGGAUGUGAGUAAUUUUUAUGAAAAAAAUUAGUUUGCAAGGAAUCAAACCAGGUACCAUAUGCUCACACUUUACAACUACAACCGCUAUGCCACUUCUAUUUUUGUAGAAAUAUUGUUGCUUCUAAAAAAGAAAUACAUGACUAAAACAUUUUUUUUAAAUCCCGAACCGCCCUAACAGUUUCCUCUCUCAUAUCAGUUAUUUUUUAUUAUUAGCAGUACCUUUAUUGAUAGUAGUGAUCUUUUUCAGUAUGCUUACUACGUUUUACGAUAUUAAAGUUGUAUCUUUAAAAUUGUAGAUAAUUUGACUGAUCCAGAUGAUAAUUUUAUCAUUAGAAACUUCACUUUUUCCUUUAAUUUUGCUGGCCUCUUUGUUUCUCCAAUAUUAUAUUACUUGAAGUUGUAUAUUCUAACUUUUUAUUUGCAAAAAUCACUACAGUAGACUAUAACAUUACUUUGUUUUGGCAAAGUAAGGACUUCGAUUCCUUAUUCAUUUUUGUUAAUUUCCAUUAUUUAUAAGGCGCUGAGAGAAUAUUAUGAAGGCUACCUUGAUUCUGCUACCAGAUUGUCGGAUCCACAGAAUCUAGGGGAUCCACAAGAGCUGGAAAAGAUUAGGACUACUUGUGUGAAAUGGUACCUCCUAUAUUUGGUUGGAUGCUUGUUGUUUGGUGAUAAAAGCAACAAACGCAUUGAGUUGGUCUAUCUGACGACCAUGGAGGACGGCUACGCGGGGAUGCGUAAUCAUUCUUGGGGAGGGAUGACAUUAGCAUACCUAUACCACUGUCUAUCUGAGGUCUCUUUACCUGGAGGUGGAGCUCUUGAGCGAAGCGUGACACUGGUCACUGCUGUAUGAAAUUGUCACAUUGGAACCUUAACUUUAUUUUUAUUUUUGUUUUAUUUUCGUGCGUAAUAAUUUAUAAAAGUGAUUUGUUUGGUUUGUGCAGGGAUGGUUUUUGUGUCACUUGCCGGAGCGGGGUCUGAGAUAGUACGGCUAUGUUCAGACCGUUCCCAUACCUCCUACGACGAUUGAGCCUCUUGAGCCAGCGGAGGUGGUUACGGCCUUCUUGGAGUUUGCUCUCCAUGUCCAAAGCCAGCAAGAGAGGGGUGAGUCGGUCCCGGAGGACGAGGGGCAUAAGCAUUCAAAGGGGUACAUGAAAUGAUUCUACCGUGUAUCCCAUCUUCUUAUGAUCGCCCCUGCUGCCGUUCCUGAGGACCACAGUUCCUAGACCUCCCUAUGAGGAGGUUAUUGUUGAGCAGCGGUGGGCCGGACAUCCUCCCGACCCAUACCAGAUGAUCAUCCAAAAUGUCAGAGUCGUAGUUAACAGCGCUAUGGAGGGGAUUCCUGAAGUGUAUUCAAAUCUUGUUGUUGUCCGCUUUAUUGAGACCAUCCAGCACCAGUAUCGCGUGUUGGAGGAGGUGCCGACUCCGCGGAGGAGGAGGAGGACACGGAAGUAGUAGGCUCUUAAAAAAAGCAUACUGUCUCCCCACCACCACAAUGAAUAUUGCCUAAAAAUAAUUCCGAUAUAUACAUCCACCUCCACUUAUAUUGAGUUAGACCAAAUCAAAUAAUUGCAAAAAAAAAAAAGUAAUCCUAAUCCACAAUCAAUAUUACCGAUAUAUUAGGCUUUUUGAAAGUUUGAUUUGCUUUGUGACGUGUAGCUUAAUCCGUAAGCAUAUGGAAAUCUGACGUAUUUCAUUAAUAAUUGUACCCUCCCACUCACCAUUGUCUCUAACUAGUAUAAAACAUUAUAUUAUUCCCUAUGUUUUAUGCAUCAAUACAAAAAUCACACUAAGAUGGCUUCUUUUUUCUCAUACUUGCUUGUGUUUUUCUUUGCAUUUCUGAUUCUCAUCCCUCAAGGCUUUGGUAAUAAUCCUAGCCAUAAUAAACAUUUACAUCAUCCACCAUCAACAUAUGUACAUCCUACCACCUUACCCAAACCAAUUUACCCUGCCAGUACCAACAUUCCAAAAAAGCAUCCUCACCACCCUCCAAAAGAAGAUAACACUCAUUUCUAAAGUAUGAAAUGAGAGUUUUGAACUAUAUAUAUGUACUGAAUAGGUGGUCCUAGUUACCAAGCUGUUUGUUUUCUAUAGUAAUAUGUACUCUCCUACUUGGCAAAUGUGUGUGUGUGUGUGUUUGUGUGUGUAUGUGUCAUGAAUAAAAAUUACUUGACAAGAAAGAAUGCUAUGUACGUACUGCAGAUUUUAAAUAUUUUUAUUUGUGACACUAGAUUAUAAUAAAUAAAUAUUAUGAUUGUGUGAGAUUGAUAGGUUUGAUUGAUUUAUAUAUAUCGAGCAAUUUCAGACCGUAAAUAAGUCUAUAAUAUAAGUUUGGUCGAAUUUUAGGAAAAGAAAACUUGAGAUUCCUCAAAAAAAAAAAAAAAAAAAAACUUAUGAUUAUAUAUCUACAUAAACACUUGUGAGACUUGAAAAUCACGUUGAUUUUUGCCUAGAUAUGUGUUCUCUACCCAACUCUUCAUCCUUUAAUAAACACAACAUCAAAAAAUUAGACAAACUUUAGUACUGUAACAAGCUGAUCAUGCAAACAGAGUAAAACAGCAGCAAAACUAACCUAUACCCUUAAACAACUCAACUCUUCUUCAGAGCAACAAAACCAUAAACAUGUUGAAGCACAGAAACAACACUAGCCAAAUGCCACAAAUCAGUUAUGUAAACAUGAGCAACAUGAAGCAACAAGAAAAUAAGAACACAAAAAAAAAACAGCAAGAAGUAUCCAACAGCACAAAUGAUAUUUGACAUAGGUGAAUGUUGGCAAUUUUGGAGGACAAUGACUCAUAAUCUCGUAUAUGCUAUGUGGUUGUAUCAUAAAGUGAAAAAAAAAAUUGUUACAACUCAUGAGGUGUAAUUAAGAACUCUCAUUCAUCAAUGCAUUGUUAAUCCAAAACAGAAUUUAAAUUUUCAAGCCCUCUCAGUUCAUAAGUAACUUAGGUUUGUUAUAGUUUAUCUUUCGUUUAAGUCAUUACCUUGUCUAUAUAUAAGCAAAUUUUAACUUGUUAGAUUUAUUCAAUUAAUGAUGUAUGUGGUCUAUAAUAUAGAUCAUAUACAUCAUUGAUUGAAUAAAUCUAAAAAAGAUUUCUUUAUAAUUGACAACGGAGGGACUACAUGUGAGGGACCAGAUAUUCGAACUCUGGCCAUGAUGUUUAUUGUAACAAUUCCACAUUUUUGUCAGUUGAGUUACGAUUUGUAAACUAUUAUGAUACAGUUUUUUGUUGUAAAAAGAUCAAUUAUUUUAGGACGAAGGAAGUAUGCAUAUAUUUUGUUGUUUUUAAAUAUACAUUCUCUAAUAACUAUUAUAAUCAAAUAUUACUUCUUCAGGUUUAUUAAAUAAUUGAUGUAUAUGAACUACAUAAUAGUUUAGAUAUAUAAAUUAUUCAAUGAACUUCAACAAAAAAAAAAUGUUUUUAUUUUAAAGAAAAAAAAAAAUUAUCUUUUACUCUAAAUAAAAUGUUUAUUUGUUUAUAAUAGUAUCGGGAGGAAGUAUCUUUUACUUAAAUUAUUAAGGGUGAAAUAUGUUUUUAAUCCCUAUAAAUAUACCAACUUUUUGUUUUAGUCUCUCUAAAAUUUUCCUUCAACUUUUAGUUCCUAUAAAAUUUUCAAUCACUACGUUUGUCCCUAUUUUUAAGUUAAUUUUUUUAUUUUUUAAAUGAAAUUGUGCAGAAUGUAUAGAAUAUUGUAAAUAAAAAUCCAAAAAAAAAAUAGAAUUUUUUAACAAAACACAAAUUAAAUAUGAAUUUUUAACCUUUAAAAAUAUAAAAAUUCAUAUUAAAUUCAUGUUUUGUUAAAUAAUUCUAAUUUAUUUUUUUUAGAGAUUCUUAUAAUAUUAUGGAUUUUCCUGCCAAAUUUCAUUCAAAAAUAUGAAUUCUAGAUAUGAGUUUACUUUAAAAGAGAGACCAAAAGUGAAUAUGGAAAAUUUUUAAGGGACUAAAAGUUGAAGAAAAAUUUUAAAGAGAUUAAAAGGAAAAGUUGACAUACUUAUAAAGACUUCAGAAAUGUAUAGAAUAACCCCAACUUCAUAUUAUAAUUUAUAUCACUCAAAAACAUCAAACACCUCAUGUCCAUGUGACAUUUACAAUUUUCAUUUCUCAAUCCCCUCAUGAAGGAAUACUCAACAGAAAACAUACUAUCAAAAUGAACGACGUAGUAGUUAUAAUAUUUUGGGUUAAUUAAAUUUUUUGUCUCAGUAAAUAUUUAGAAUUUUGUUUUUAGUCCCUACAAAAUAAAAUCACAUUUUUUAGUCCUUAUAAAAUUUUUCAUCAACAUUUUUAGUCCUUAUAAAAUAUUUAAUAAGCAUUUUUAGUCCCUAUAAAAUUUUUCUAUCAGCAUUUUUAGUCCCUCAAAUGCUUAAGGAAAAUGUCACAGGGACUAAAAAGUGUGAUUUUAUUUUGCAAGCACUAAAAACAAAACUGUGAAUAUUUAGAGACUAAAAACUUAAUUAACCCUAAUAUUUUUACAUAUAAAUGGAAGUAUAUAUUUAUUAAUGAUAAUUUUGGAGUUAAAAUUUAUCAAAAUAUUGAAGGAAAAAAACAUACAAAUGGUGGAGGAAGAAGAACAUAAUAUAGGAAUCAUUCCCUUGUAACAUAUGAUUAAUCAAAAAUAAAGCUCAACAUUAGAAUCUGAAUGAUGUCCGAGAAAUAUUCAAGCCUUUACAGAGAGAUCCUCCAAAAUAGCCAUGGAAAAUUGAUCUUCUCAUUGAUUUUACAAGAACCAUGCUAGCAAGAGUUUUAGUUGAGUAUAGCAACUAGGUACCCAGUUCUGUUAGAGACAUUGCAAGAACCAUAUUCUUUUAAUUGAUUUUAAAAAUACACUCGAGUUUUAACCAUUUACUUGACCUGUAAAGAUGAUCUGAGUUUAACUAGUAACAAACAAUAUAUCACAAUAAAGUCAUUGCUAAGUGGAUCAAAAACAGAAUGAAUGAAAUGGCUUGAAUAAGUGAGUUUAUUAAUACAGUUCUAAAAUAUUUUAUGGCUUCCUUAAUUUUUAAAAGAAAAACAAGUUUUACCCAACAUUUUUUAAUGGCCUCUAGAGGAUCAGACAUUUCUCAUCAGCCAAUAACCCUGUAAUCAAAGAGGAUCAGACAUUUCUUAUCCACUUCAUAGCUCACCUAUCUCAAACCAUUAGUUCUUUCUUUCACAAUCAUUCAUUAAUGGAGACUUGUUACUAAAAUCAAAUAGUAACAGACUUUUGUUAUCCAUAAACUUGCAUUUUGUUCUUGUUAUUCUUCUUACAAACUAAGCAACUGAUGGAUUUUAGAAUUGAUCUUGUUAAAGCAUUGUUAGACAAACUUUCUUCUAGAGAGUUUGUUGACAAUUUCCGAAGCACAAAGCUUGACGUUUCACUCUUGACAGAGAUGACUGAAAACACUCUGCUCACUCUCAACUUCUGUGAAGGUGCUGUUAGACAAGAUUGUUUCUAGUGAGUACUUCAUCGGCAAGUUCCAGGCCACGAAGCUUGACGUUUCACUACUCUUGGAAAAGCUUAAGACAAUACUUAUGGUUCUUCAUGAAGCUGUGGAGACACUUACUUUAAGGCUUUGUCGACAACUUUGGCUGAAUAUGCUGGAAUAUAUAUGUUGUAUUUGAACUCUACAAUUGCUCUUGCUCCAAAGAUUAUUUUAACAAUAUCCAACUGUUGUAACAAGAUGGACCAAGCGUUACGAACAUGCUUAUGAACUUUAAGGAAAAUGGUUAUUAAAGUAAUACUUAAAUGACUUAAGACAAUAAUUUGAAUGAACAAGAGAUGUUGAUGAUGAGAAUGGCUUGGCUUGGGUUACUUGUUUAUUUUUCUUUUGAGGGAAACACGACUAAUUGAAAGGUAAAGUGGUUAUUUUGAAUAACAUGUGGGUUGUGCGAGAAGCAAUGAGUAUUUAAAAUGAAAGAUGGAGAGAAAGGAUAGUCUUGCUCACUUGAAAGGAAUGGAAUAACAUACAUUAAGAUAAUAACUUCCAAAUGGAUUAUAAUUAUAUAAUGGGGUUGACCAAAACAUGCGAGAACUUAUGGCCUAAUAUCCUUAGAUGAAAUUAAUUGGGAAGAAGCAAUUAAGAAGGAAAAGGUUACAAAUGAAGAAGAGGUUUAUGUAAGUGUGUACUAAUAAAUGCAUAAUACCAUCAAGAAUAAAUUGGGAACAUAAAGGAACUUUGUGCUCUGUUCAUUGUUAUUCUUAACAAAUACAAAAAAGAGAAGGAAAAAAACAACACAUAUAGUUCCCAAACUGAACUACACACUAUCCUCAAUAUUUCAUUUAUAUUGCUUAAUGACUAUAGAAAUGUAAUCCCCUGAUUAUUAUUGAUGAGAAUUGUGAUAGAUAUACAAUUGUUUCUGAUUCUGAUAUAGAAACUAAUAAAUGCAUAAUGAAUAAACUGAACUACACAUUAUCCUCAAUGUUUCAUUUAUAUUGCUUAAUGACUAUAGAAAUGUAAUCCCUUGAUUAUUAUUGAUGAGAAUUGUGAUAGAUAUACAAUUGUUUAAUUGUUUCUGAUUCUGAUAUAGAAACUAAUAAAUGCAUAAUGAAUAUACAAUAAUGUCUAAUCAAUAUAAUUACAUAUUUGACAAGUAAAAUAGUAAUGUCUAAUGAAUAUACAAUAAACAUAAUUGAUUCUAAUACUCCCCCGCAGUCGCUCCCCCGCAGCCGAAGCGGGAGGUGGACGAAUGCUGAGGCUGUCACGAAAAUCUUGGAAUAAUAUCAAGGGAAGACCUUUUGUGAAAACAUCUGCAAUUUGAUAUCGUGAUGGUACGUGCAGAACUCAGACUUGGCCACGAGACACCUUUUCGCAAACAAAAUGAAUAUCCAUCUCAAUAUGUUUUGUUCUUUGAUGUUGGACCGGGUUACCAGAGAGAUAAAUUGCACUGACAUUAUCAUAAUAAACCAUGGUUGCUUUGUGAAUAGGACACUGUAACUCAAGGAGAAGAUUGCGUAGCCAACAUGAUUUAGAGAUCACAUUGGCAACUC